GAUGUACGCUGGCGGCGUGCUUAACACAUGCAAGUCGAACGAUGAAGCCCAGCUUGCUGUGUGGAUUAGUGGCGAACGGGUGAGUAACACGUGAGUAACCUGCCCUUAACUCUGGGAUAAGCCUGGGAAACUGGGUCUAAUACCGGAUAGGAGCGUCCACCGCAUGGUGGGUGUUGGAAAGAUUUAUCGGUUUUGGAUGGACUCGCGGCCUAUCAGCUUGUUGGUGAGGUAAUGGCUCACCAAGGCGACGACGGGUAGCCGGCCUGAGAGGGUGACCGGCCACACUGGGACUGAGACACGGCCCAGACUCCUACGGGAGGCAGCAGUGGGGAAUAUUGCACAAUGGGCGCAAGCCUGAUGCAGCGACGCCGCGUGAGGGAUGACGGCCUUCGGGUUGUAAACCUCUUUCAGUAGGGAAGAAGCGAAAGUGACGGUACCUGCAGAAGAAGCACCGGCUAACUACGUG
rnacentral:rRNA from 1 species